UUCUCUCUUCCCAAGGUGAGAUGUUUGACAGUUGCUAUAAAUAGAUUGGAUUUUUGUGAAGUGUCCAAAACAGCACAAAGGGAAUAUUUAGAAGACCUUGAACAUCCGCUGAGGGAGGAGAGACAGACCGUAAGAGACGAAGACAAAAAGGGGAAAGAAUGCAUAUGCAUUCAAACCUCUUGAUGACAUGAUGACUCGUUUUUUUCCUUGCUGUCCUGUCCAGGGCUGUCAUUGAUGGUAUCAGCUGUUCUCAUCAGCUGGUUACAUCAGCUCUCAUCUAUCCAAUAGCUCAGCGACACACCCACAUUGUUAGCCUAUCAUCCUUCUGCUGCCUCUGUUCAAAUAUGAUUCUCUCCAUGCCUCUGGUACAUUAAUGCUGAUGUUGAGAGUAUGGUGUGUUAACAGCUGUU